UCUGGCAGUACUGUAUGACAAUCGCGCGGCUCCGCUCUCCCAGGCAGCGCGUACACGGAAACCUUGGCAACGGCGGGUGGCUGAGAGCAGGGUGUAGAGCAGACAGAGUCAGCAGAUCUCAAUCCAGUAGAGCAGCUUUGGGAUGUGAUGGAAGAGAUGUGCAUCAUGGAUGCACAGCCAACAAAUCUGCAGCAACUGAGUGAUGCUAUCAUAUCGAUAUGGACUAAAAUCUCUGACCAGUGUUUCCAGCACCUUGUUGAAUCUAUGUCAAGAAGACUUGACAUAGAUUUCUAGACAUAGAAGGCAAAAUGGAGUCCAACCCAGUACUAGCAAGGUGUACCUAACAAAGUGUUCGGAACCCCAAGCAGCGAGACUAACGGUGGAACCAGGCACACUUCAUUCAUCUGUGAAAGAUGGUCCAGAACUCAACCUCUCAACACUCAUGUGUCUUUCAAUAUCUAAUUCAACAAAGUCAUCAUACUCUUACCUACAUGUCGCUCUUACCCCUUACUGGUUUAGACAAGGACCUCUGUGUUUAGAUAAUGAAAUUAGCCGGCCUCCCUGAGGCUCUCCCUGCUUCAUAAACUGCUUUAUUAAUUGCUAUCUGCAUUUGGUAAGUGCUACAAAAGGCUACUGUAAGUAUAUCCACUCGUAACCGGAGCGGAUUCUAUAUUGAUUGCAGAUGGUGUCAUUACUCAAAAAACCCAGCUGUGUAAUUUAAGUAAUGGAGCAGAUUAUUAAUUAAGAUGAAGGGCUACUUAACAUUGAUCAGGGAUCCAAGCUCCACUUUGCUGUAAUGCAUAAAUAACCUGACAUGGGUGCGAUUCCCCAACACACAGCGCUCGUUAAAGCUCAUCGCAUGUGCUGAUAUCACAGAUUCUGAUACGCAGUACCUCCUGGUUUCAUCUUCAUGAGUGCAAAGCCUGCGCCUUCACCCUGCAGUGCAUUUAUAGCUUAAGUAGCAGGAUAUAGAGGAGUUCGUGGAGAACUACUUGAGGCCAAGUGCUGGUAUAAUGCAAAAGUGCUCUUUCAAAGGCGUGAUUAUCUUGGCGUGGCGGGAAUGGAAGAGGCAGCAUUCCGCUGCAAGCACGUUAAAUAAGGUGACGUGCCAGAUGAGAAUUUGUAUUUAUUUAUUUAUUGUUUUUAACACAGAAGCUGAUGACAUGUACUGUACAACACUGCAACCGCAACAUCUGUUGGGCUUUGCAACAUUCAGGAAAUCUCAGCAUGCAGUCCUUCCCUGAUGGCACACAUAUCCUGUGUUUGAUGGGAAAGCAGAGCAGUGUGACAAACAGGUCAUGAGCAUCUUCUCGGGGCAGCCAGGGUCAUGUGAGCGACAGCGAGAAAGGCUCAAGGCUCGGAAUAACUCUUUAAGGCGGAAGGCAGGAACUCCUCAAGGACAACACUGAUGCUGGACUUUGUAAACUUGCUUUCUAUUUUUUUUGUUGUUAUUAUGCCGUCCAAUUCAAGGAUUUGAGAGGAUCUGUAUUAAUUCAUAUUUACUAAUGAAACGAAACGCUUAGUUAUUUGCACGCCAAAGUACAGAUCCUUUUUCCAAGAAGAAAAAGAGCAUGUAUUUAAAAAAGGGAGCACAAAAGUAGUUUUUAAUGAUGAAUUAAACUGACUCUUAUGCCUAACAGACCACUGGCUUUGCAAAAGCACAAUAGUACUUCCAUCCAUCCAUCUAUUUUCUUCCGCUUAUCCAAUUCAGAGUCGGGGAAGACCUGGAGCCUUUCCCAGCUGUCAUAUGGCAAGAGGUGAUGUACAGCCUGUACAUGUUUUUGUACCAGGUUUUCUAAGCAGGGCUAACACAGAGUGACAGACAGCCAUUCGUACUAUUUGGACUGUGGGAGGAAGCUGGAGUGCUUGAAAAAACCCACACAGACAUGAGGAAAACAUGCAAACUCCACACAGAAAGGCCACAGAUUCAAACGCAGGGUCUUUUGGCUGUGCUAACUGUACAACGGAAUUCUGACCCCUCCAAAGUACUUAAGUUAAAACCAAAAUCUCAAUUAGAUAUUCUGUAAAGGAAAGAAAACAUGUGACCUAGUCUUUGACAUCACAGUGCACAUAUUUAUGUAUGAACAUCUGCUCUUCUCUGGGGCUAUUUUUGGCCUGAAGUUUUUAAAAUUCAAGGUCAUGGAAUAACUGAUAUAGUCACACAAGCUUCCUCAUAAUGAAAAUACUGUAAUGGCUUCAUCUGGUUCCCUAUUUUGUGUUAAAUGAGAAGUUAUUCAAAUGCAUCUCUUUUCCUUUUAGGGGAAUUUCUUCAUUUGUUUUUUUUUACUCUUUACUCCUACGAGUCGGACACAGGAAGUUGUUGCAAAAUCUUGGAUUUCAACAGAAAAAUGGUCACUCCUUUCAUCCGCAGAGUUCCUCGUGAAUGCCUCUACGUGCUUAAUCACGCUCUUCACUGUACAGUUUAAAAAGAGAACGACUGACUUAAAUCUACUUGAGCGAAGUCGUAACUGUCACCGAGGUGCUUGAUUUUUCACAACCCCGCCGACUCCACUGAUACAGGGAGAGAUCUGAGCGCGAGCUGCGCUGCUGUAUUUAUUUGUUUAUAUAAUGAUGCCACACUCUGUAGUAACUUUCUCAGAUGGAUCUGUCAAUGAUUGAUGAAGUAUGCAGUCAGAAGUCACACAGCUUUAUAGCAGACAUCAUAUUAUGCUGAUAGGCUGCAGAAGAAUUUAAUGUUCUGCCACAAAUAGGCUCUCUGUAGAGACCUUAUAAGGUUUACAGGGUGCUCAUACAACCAAAGAAAAACAGGGGUUUUCUGUUAUUCUGCAUUUGAAGACACUGGUGAAACUCCUACACAAUGUUUUAAUUUGUUCUAUAUGUGUCAAACGCAAGAAUUUACAUUUACUGUCAUUUGCAGCUACAGUUUUAUCCAAACAGAUGCAUGGUUUUAUUUUUAGAAACCAAGUUAAUGAAAUUGUUUUAAGAAUAUCCUAAAAUCUAAAAGUUUUUUGAGUGUCUCGUCUGCCUUUGUUUCCUGGUGCACAAGAUAUCUCGUAGUUCAUUUAUUCUCCAUAUGUGGCAGAUUGCUGAGUCACCCUUCUGCUCUGCACCUGUUCAGGUGUAGUGAUUUUAAUGCUCUCUUUGGAGUGCUGAAUGCAAGGCUCCCGGUUACAGCUGGCAUUGUCAAAGUGCUCGUAGUUGAGCUAUGUGGCAAGAUGGCCGGUGUCAGCAACAGUAAAAGAGCUGGGACAGUAAAUUGACUCUGAACUGAUGAGUGGGAGUGUUGGGUUGUGGGAAAUCUGAGCUCAUUCCCUCCCUUUUCAAGGUCCAGUAAAUAUAAGGGUAGUACGUCAACAUUUCCUGCACAUCUCACAGAGAUGUAAAGGGGUGUUUACGCUCACUCACCCGAAGGACAAGAUGUUGAAAAUACAAAAGAGCUUUUUAAUGAAAUUCCCCACAAAAUAUCAAACAGCUUUUAUAGCUUUUCAUAAGAUUCUUCAAAAUCGUAAGAUUAGAUCAGAGUGCGGAGUGACAAAUUUAGAUUUUUGUAUGAAAAUCUAAAUUUUUCAGUCUGUUGGAGAGGCAUUAGGACGCAGCUGAGCGCUGUGGAGAGGUUGUGUCUGGGCCACUAAACAAGUCCCGUGUCCUAAGCAACACUGGGUAAGGGCCAUCUGUCUCCAAUACCAGAACGUUCAGGCAAAGCAGGCGGGGAAAGAAAAAGAGUUUCAUGUCGCAGCUCCCCUGAUCAAUGGCUAUUGAUUCUUCACUUAUCUCAAAUACAGCCUAGCUGAUGAGAUGUCACACUUCUGACCUCCUGCAGGGAGAGGGGAAUGAGGGAUGCUAGCUGGGUAGGCAUGGUGUUGUGUUACAGAUAUACUCCAUUCACAUAUACAAAAGGGGAAAAUUUUACUUGCAUACCUGUAAUGUUAAGGAAACAAACAUGCAGGCAUAAUUACACUGAAAUUGUAUAUUCAUGCAAUGGAAGGCUGCAAUUAUCCACCCAGUGGAUACACUUUUACAGGUUUGAUGUGACAAACCUUGCAUGGACAGUUACGCUCCUAUCCUCUUUACUGUCCAUCUCUUAACCUCAUCCCACUGUGGCUCUCACUCUCUUGAUGCAGACAGACAAUUAAUAAGUGCUUUGUUGGCCGAAUGGAUCACAUUCACCACAACUGCUGCGCUCAGCAGACAGCUCAAAUAAAUAAAGAGCAAGCAACCCCUCUAAACUGACAGUCACAAAGAUAGAUGGAUUGCAAAGUCACAAUGACCUUUGACAAUAUCCUAUUUUUAAAGCCUUUUUGGGAUCUCACAUCUAGAGAAAAAGAAGGGGAAAACUAGCUAGAAUAGCAGUAACAGUGGCAAGAUAAUCAACACUUUUCCAAGUCAUAAUAAAACAGCAGAAACUCCACAAAAAGCUAGCUCAAGAGCAUGCAAAUGCUCCAUAGCUUACAGAUCAAAGAGCUCAAUGACAGGAGAUUUUACAGAGCAUAGGAAGAUGAUGGUUUGGUACCACAGAAAAAUCCCCCACUGUGACUUUGUGUACUGAAUGUUAAACACUGGCCAAUUUUUCACCUUUUCUAUUUACUGUCGCACAUUUUUAUGUGCAAGAUUUCAUAACUCCUUUGAGUUUCCAAUAAAUCCUCACUAUAUUGAGAUUUGAAUGUGUUGAAAAGCACAAUUCAAAGUAUUCUUAAGUGCGACAAUAAAGAAAUAUGCGUUUGAAUUUCCUUUUGCAGACAUGUGUUGGCUAUCACUGUCUUUGACUCUGUGCAGAUAUGUGAUGUAUUCACUGUGCCUUGACAUCUCGAGUAAUUGUGUUUAGACAAUUAUACAGCAUACUGCUUGUGAAAGAGAGAUUUCAUUACACAGACUUUUCUCCAGUAUUUCAAUAUUUUACAAAUGUGACACAUUUGUGGGUAUACCCUUAAAACAGGUUGUUGUUCAUGACCCCAGUCUAAAUGGUAUUGUAUGAAACAUGUCAUUGGAGCCUUAAGAUUAAAACAGCAUUGAUAAACAACAGUUUUGCUUUAAUUAGGUAAACGUAGGAAUGCUAGAGAGAAAAAUAUGUUGUUACAAGUGAAAGUCCUAGAUUCAGAAUUCUACAUGGGUCAGUAUUAACAUCAAAAUAUACUCAAAGCAUCUAAAGUAAAAGUAUUCAUUAUACAGUGAGGGGGGUCAGGGAGGAGACAGGAGCCUAUCCCCUCCCACUGUCAUAGUACAAGAAGUUUUAUUAUCACUGAUUAAUUAUCAAUUACUUUUAUCUCUCACUUUAAUGUUGAAGCUGGUAAUAAUUUGACAUGAUUUGUUUACUACAGAGCACCUCAAUCUAUAAUAAUGUAGCACAAUUUACUGGUAGCUGUAUUAUAUUAAUCAGAAAUUUAAAAUAAAUGUAGUGCCUCUUGACCCAAUCCCACUCCCUUGACAUGUCCCUGACAUCAAGAAGAAUAAGCCAAUGUAACAUUUAUGGAGCUUAGAGACAGGCAGAUUUUCUAGUGAUGUUAACAAUUUGGCUUGUGGAGUACAACCAUGUGGUCGAAAUAAUCACUUUCAGGCAAAAAAAAAAAAAAUACAUGAGAGGUGAGCACAAAUAGCCUUGAGGGUUUCAGGCGUAAUUCUCCAUCAGUCAGAUCUUUGCUGCAUGUCAUAUCUGCUCUCUCCCCACAGCUCAUAUUUGAUAAAUGGAUAAAAUACUGAAGAAAUACAAAUGAAUAGAUGAAAAUUCAUCUAAUGAUUUCUAAUCAUUUCACUAAGGGAAAUAUCUACAUAAAUAUACAGAUAUGUAAUUACUCUGAAUAAAAUCUUUAACAUAACAUUUAGAAUUUUGGUUAAAGUUAUCCACAGGUUGCUCCUCCUGGAUUCAUGAUGUGUAAUGUCAACUGUAGCUGGCCUCUGGUGAUGAGAGAAAUAGAAACUGAACUGCUCAGCUGUUACUCGGUGAGACUGCUCAAAUAAAUUAUUUAUUCGAAAUGACAGAGUGUGAUUCUCUUCUUCGUCUGACCCCGUUUAACCAUUAUCUGCCUUCUUUGUGGGCAAUUUCAAAGGAAAUAAUACACAUUUCAUAAUGGAUAAAUUAUUAGGAAAUGACAGAAAAAGCACAAACUUGCCCAGAUUUAGAGCAGAAACCAUGGAAAUAAUUACAUUUCUGACUACAGUACUAUUCGCUGACAGUGUACACAAAAUGAGUGCCCUGAUUCCUAAUUCGCAGAUCAUGACUGCUGUGAAAUGCAAUUAAUGGAUUCAUAAUUUAUUUAGUGAGCUGUGAUGAGCAAGUUCCUGGGAGCUCACUGAGACAGAAUGCAGUAUACACUCCAUACACACUGGGUAAGCACUAGGUGUGUUUCAAAGGAUGUGCAAAAAAACAAAAAAGGAACAGUACAUCUAAAUAAUUUUAGAUGUAGCUGCAGUUGUGGUUAGAAGUUUACAUACACUCAUCCUGGGCUUGGCUGCCAUGGCAGUUUUGGACUCUUUAAACAGUUCUUUUUCCAGGGUAUACACCCUAACUAAUAUUUGGUUAAAUGUCCCUUGGCAAGAUCCUUUUGGUAGCCAUCAACAAGCUUCUGGGAUAAUUUUGGCUUAAUAGUUUGGCAGUGGUCCACCUCCUUCAUUAGUCCAUCCACCUUGUGUAAUAGUGUACGAGUAUUGCUGGCAGCAAAACAGCCCCAAAGCAUAAUCCUACCACCGCCAUGCUUUGCAAGCUGAACAGUGUUCUUACGUUUGAGACCCUCACCUUUACUCCUCUAAGCAUACCUCUUGUCAUUGCGGCCAAAUAGCUCAAUCUUUGUUUCAUAUAACCAUAAAACUUUUCUCCAGACCGUGUGGGCAGAUUCAAAUUUCAGUCAACCAAUUUCAAAUGUCAAUUUUCAUAGCAGGCUUGAACGUCAGUGGUUCCUGAGUUGUCCCUGAACAUCCUAACCCAGGGGUGUCCAACUCCAGGCCUCAAGAGCAGGUGUCUUGCAGGUUUUAGAUGUGUCCUUGAUCCAACACAA